rnacentral:rRNA from 1 species
GCGGUGUGGAUGGGCCCGCGGCCUAUCAGCUUGUUGGUAGGGUAAUGGCCUACCAAGGCGACGACGGGUAGCCGGCCUGAGAGGGUGACCGGCCACACUGGGACUGAGAUACGGCCCAGACUCCUACGGGAGGCAGCAGUGGGGAAUAUUGCACAAUGGGCGCAAGCCUGAUGCAGCGACGCCGCGUGAGGGAUGACGGCCUUCGGGUUGUAAACCUCUUUCAAUAGGGACGAAGCGCAAGUGACGGUACCUAUAGAAGAAGGACCGGCCAACUACGUG